CAUGAAAUCAUUUUCUGAAUCAGAAUUUUACGCUGAAUCCAAUGGUGAUAGUGUCGUCCCCAGCCGCCGCAUUGGUCCUGAGUUAUGGAAGGUUAUGUACUGCGCAUGCGCAGAUCUAUCUUCGUAAAUACGCAUCUUUUGUUGAAAGGAUAUUAAGCAAAGUUGUAGCCCUCAUGAAGGCGAACAACAUUCGUUAAUGUCUUCUCAACAAAAUAUGCAAGCGUAAGGUUUUACGUUCUGCGCAUGCGCAGACCUUC
rnacentral:lncRNA from 1 species